CAGCAGCCGCGGGAAUACGAAGGGGGCUAGCGUUGUUCGGAUUGACUGGGCGUAAAGGGUGCGUAGGCGGGGUUUUAAGUCAGGGGUGAAAUGCCGAGGCUCAACUUCGGAACUGCCUUUGAUACUGGAAUUCUUGAGUCCGGGAGAGGUGAGUGGAACUGCGAGUGUAGAGGUGAAAUUCGUAGAUAUUCGCAAGAACACCAGUGGCGAAGGCGGCUCACUGGCCCGGUACUGACGCUGAGGCACGAAAGCGUGGGGAGCAAACAGGAUUAGAGACCCCAGUAGUCCCUGUCUCUUAUAC
rnacentral:rRNA from 1 species